AUUGAACGCUGGCGGCAGGCCUAACACAUGCAAGUCGAGCGGAUGAAGGGAGCUUGCUCCUGGAUUCAGCGGCGGACGGGUGAGUAAUGCCUAGGAAUCUGCCUGGUAGUGGGGGAUAACGUCCGGAAACGGGCGCUAAUACCGCAUACGUCCUGAGGGAGAAAGUGGGGGAUCUUCGGACCUCACGCUAUCAGAUGGGCCUAGGUGGGUUUAGUUAGUUGGUGGGGUAAAGGCCUACCAAGGCGACGAUCCGUAACUGGUCUGAGAGGAUGAUCAGUCACACUGGAACUGAGGCACGGUCCAGACUCCUACGGGAGGCAGCAGUGGGGAAUAUUGGGCCAUGGGCGAAAGCCUGAUCCAGCCAUGCCGCGUGUGUGAAGAAGGUCUUCGGAUUGUAAAGCACUUUAAGUUGGGAGGAAGGGCAGUAAGUUAAUACCUUGCUGUUUUGACGUUACCAACAGAAUAAGCACCGGCUAACUUCGUG
rnacentral:rRNA from 1 species